UAGGGAAUCUUCGGCAAUGGACGGAAGUCUGACCGAGCAACGCCGCGUGAGUGAAGAAGGUUUUCGGAUCGUAAAGCUCUGUUGUAAGAGAAGAACGAGUGUGAGAGUGGAAAGUUUACACUGUGACGGUAUCUUACCAGAAAGGGACGGCUAACUACGUGCCAGCAGCCGCGGUAAUACGUAGGUCCCGAGCGUUGUCCAGAUUUAUUGGGCGUAAAGCGAGCGCAGGCGGUUAGAUAAGUCUGAAGUUAAAGGCUGUGGCUUAACCAUAGUACGCUUUGGAAACUGUUUAACUUGAGUGCAAGAGGGGAGAGUGGAAUUCCAUGUGUAGCGGUGAGAUGCGUAGAUAUAUGGAGGAACACCGGUGGCGAAAGCGGCUCUCUGGCUUGUAACUGACGCUGAGGCUCGAAAGCGUGGGGAGCAAACAGGAUUAGAUACCCUGGUAGUCCACGCCGUAAACGAUGAGUGCUAGGUGUUAGACCCUUUCCGGGGUUUAGUGCCGUAGCUAACGCAUUAAGCACUCCGCCUGGGGAGUACGACCGCAAGGUUG
rnacentral:rRNA from 1 species